rnacentral:lncRNA from 1 species
GGUUCAUUCUGCUUGUAUGAGAAAUUUGGGUGGAACCUAUUAUCAGGAUGGUAAACUGGGCUGAACGAGUUGGGAGUGGGCUUCUUAAAGGCACUAUAUGAAUUUAGAGCAUUUGCUUGCUCGGCCUUUAUGGUGGGCAGAUUAGGGCAGCACUCCACUAGAUGUUCCGGACUGUUACACAAGACACACAAACUAUAUGACUCGUGAUCCACUUUCAUGACAGGAUU